rnacentral:rRNA from 1 species
AUGAGUAAUACCAGCGGCGCACGGCGUGCCGCAAGGAGGCAAUCGCUGGAUGGAUCUGCUGAUAAAGUUGUUGUGGACUUGGAUGCAAGCUCGCCGGUGGCGGGGAACCAUCAUGGGCUCUCGGUCUUCCCUGGUGCACGCACAUCGCCUAUUGAUGUGGAAGCUCUCGAUGAUGAAGUGCAGGCCCUAUCGCCUUCACAAGUGCCUCCCCCGGGGGUGAACCGGAGAACUAGAGGGCAACCUGUGACACAAUUUUCUCUGGAUGAAGAUGCUGUCCUGGAAGAGAAUUGGAGAAUUAUAAGGCAAUGUGCGACACCAUUUUGUCUUGAUGAAGAUGCUGCCAUGGAAGAGAAUCGGAGAACUAGAAGUCAAUUUUUGACACCACUUUAUCUGGAUGAAGAUGCUGCCCUGGAAGAUAAUGCAGCUAUGCCUUCUCAUAACACGUGGAACAAACGCCAAAGGGUUGCGCCUUUGAUAUGUCUCUCCCCAGAAAGGGAAGAAGGGUCCAGCCUGCAGUCGAACAAUGCGGUGCAAAUUAGCCAAGAGCCUGCUAAGGUGGUGGUUCCAAAGGAACCGAAUUUCACUUGCCCGGUGUGCCUUAACAAGCUGGUGGAGCCUUCGACAACAAAAUGUGGCCAUAUCUUCUGCGCAGAGUGCAUCAAGCAAGCCAUCCAGUUUCAGAAGAAAUGCCCUACUUGCCGCAAGGCCCUGAGGAAGAACAACUUCCAUCGUAUUUACCUUCCGAACUCGGAUGGUUAA